UUUAAUUAAGUUUUUUGGGCGAUGUUGAGCCACUGUCGUUGCGGAUGCGGAUGGCGUUUCAAUGUUUGGCCCACUGUUAUUGUUGCUGCCAGUGAGAGACAACACAACCAGCCAUAAAUUGCAAAGUACCGUUUUGACCGCGGCACUCAGUUAGCAUACUAAAGUAUGAGAGCGAGAGAGAGAGAGGCAAAAUAAACAAGAAUCACCCGUUGUGAGAGCGUCAAACUAAAAGAGAGCCAAAGCUAACGCAUCACAGUGGGAGGGAGAGCGUGAGCGCCCCGUGAUGACAGCGGGCUUCUUAUGUGUGCGUAUGUAUGUGUGUGUGUGUGUGACUGUAAUGAGUUGUGUGAGUCAUGCUGAGAGCGAUGUUAAUGUCGCUGCUGAUGAAGGUAAAAAUCAACAAAAAUUAUAAUAAUAAUAAUAAUGGAAAGUAUUUAAAAA